CAAUGAAGGAAGCAUGAAUGUGCAUAAAUUGAAUUGGGUCUCUAGGCCUGCCCUCUUUGAUGUCAUUCGGCUUUGAUUUGGGAGCAUGGUUCCGCAGCAAAACA